ACUGAACGCUGGCGGCAGGCUUAACACAUGCAAGUCGAGCGGGGUGAUGGUGCUUGCACUAUCACUUAGCGGCGGACGGGUGAGUAAUGCUUAGGAAUCUGCCUAUUAGUGGGGGACAACAUCUCGAAAGGGAUGCUAAUACCGCAUACGUCCUACGGGAGAAAGCAGGGGAUCACUUGUGACCUUGCGCUAAUAGAUGAGCCUAAGUCGGAUUAGCUAGUUGGUGGGGUAAAGGCCUACCAAGGCGACGAUCUGUAGCGGGUCUGAGAGGUUGAUCCGCCACACUGGGACUGAGACACGGCCCAGACUCCUACGGGAGGCAGCAGUGGGGAAUAUUGGACAAUGGGGGGAACCCUGAUCCAGCCAUGCCGCGUGUGUGAAGAAGGCCUUAUGGUUGUAAAGCACUUUAAGCGAGGAGGAGGCUCUUUUGGUUAAUACCCAAGAUGAGUGGACGUUACUCGCAGAAUAAGCACCGGCUAACUCUGUGCCAGCAGCCGCGGUAA
rnacentral:rRNA from 1 species